UACGUAGGGUGCAAGCGUUGUCCGGAAUUAUUGGGCGUAAAGAGCUCGUAGGCGGUUUGUCGCGUCUGCUGUGAAAACUCAGGGCUUAACCCUGAGCCUGCAGUGGGUACGGGCAGACUAGAGUGUGGUAGGGGAGAUCGGAAUUCCUGGUGUAGCGGUGGAAUGCGUAGAGAUCCGGAAGAACACCGGUGGCGAAGGCGGCCCGCUGGGCAGGAAGGCUCGCAAGAGCCGGCUGACGCUGAGGCGCGACAGCGUGGGGAGCAAACAGG
rnacentral:rRNA from 1 species